GGUGGAGAAACAAAAACACUAAUGCGAUAAAUGGUUCUAGUGGGUGCUGCAAUUCUAUUGAUGUACGGCACCUCACCUAACAGUUAUUGGUGACACGUAUAUCAAUACAUGGAUAACUUUAUCCAGAUGCUUCUCCAAGCAUAUUACAGUGACUUGAUCUCUAAGUCCUGUGGCCUCACCUAAUAGUUAUUGAUACAUUUCUUAGUUAAGUGCAACCCACAGUUCACCAACGAGUGUAAAACCGU
rnacentral:lncRNA from 1 species